GUUGUUAUGACAGAACAAGGCUAGCACUUCCUUAGUCUCUUUGGCUUCCUCUUUCACUCUGUGAUUUCCUGUUCUGAUGCCAUCUGCUAGGAGGCCCUCAAAAAAGGCCAAAUACAUGGAUCAGCUAGAACCAGGACUUUCAGCUUCCAGAGCUGAGCUGAACAAACCUCUUUCUUUACAAGUUUCUCAGCUUCAGGAUUGAUGCAAAGGCAAAGGAAGGAAAGUCGAGCUGAUCUGGAAGUCCAAACAGAGAGUAGGAGAGAGAACAAGGAAGAGUUAGUUUAAUGGGACCUGACUUGUCACCUCUGCUUGGUGAAAUCCUCACCUUCUUCACGUUCCAUUUGAUGACAUUUCCUUCUGAAUCCUUCUUCGAAUGUCUCAGGCAAAAGUUAAGGGUAUCCAGCCAUUCCAUGUGCUCAAAGUUGUCCCAGUGGGGUCACUGAAAGUUCUGUAAUCCAGAAAACCCCUCGGUUCAAGACAGUCACCUACCUGCCUGUGUGCUACAUGCACAGCUAGCCUGCUGCUUUAAUGGAGGCCACAUCCACCUCUACCUAAAGCCCCUCCCUCUGUUUGGCAUUUCCUCUACUCACUCAAAAUAGGCCCUUGAAAUUCCCCCACCUCCCUGCAUCUCCAAUCUUUUCCUCUCUCCAUUAACAUUCAAAUAGUCCACUUUUCCCAUUGAAAACAAAAACAAAACUAAACAAACAAACAAACAAACAAAACUAAAAAACAAUCACAGGGCUGAGAUUGUAGCUCAACAAGACAGAACUUAGCUAGCAUGUGUGCGGCUCUGGGGAGAUCUCCAGAACAGCAAACAAAUAAAUAUCAAUAAAGAGGUCUCAGACUAACAUCUUCCUCAAGCUACCACCCAUUUUCUUGGAUCUCCUUUAUAAUAAAACCCCUUGAAUGGAUUGUUUACAUACAGUUUCCAAUUUUAUUUUUCUCUCUUACUAUUUUCUAUUGAACCAUUUCUAUCAGUUUUUCUUGUCCCCAGCUCUCCAUAGAGAAAAAUCCAGUCACAGUUUGCCAAUGAUCUGGAAUUUUCUCAGACUGUCGAAUAGUGAGAAACAAAUUUCUAUUGUAUUUAGCAUUGUAUUUGGUUAUAUUUUUUUAAUCACAAAAAUUUGUCCCAGCUUAUGUGAUGGAGAUAAUAACUUCCAUAUUCAUAUGUCCAGUUUGCAUACUUCCCUGGCAGUUUAUAUAUGUCUAUUCAAUGGUCUAGAACACAACCAACUAAAUAUGUAAUAAGUGUCUCAAACAUAGCAUAUCAAUACUAAACUUUUAAUUUCCUUCCCCAAGAAGCAACUCGCUUGUCAGAAAAUAUCCCUCCUUUUGUUGCUCUUAUGCCUUAGAGCUAUCUAUCCAGCCAUGACUCCUAUCCAUCCCAUUCACUUUAGCAAGAAUGGCUGCCAUCUUCUAGGCUGUGUUAGCUUCCUACUACUCCAGCUGUUUCUGAAUAUGGAGGCAGACAGUCCCAAGAACAGAGGUCAAUGUCAGUCAUUUUUCUACACAAAUCCUCCUCUUGUGGCUUCUCAUGUCAUCAUCAUGAAUUGAGAACCCAGGACAUAGAAUAUAUCUGGUAAAUACUCUCUUUGGUAAAAAUGGUGCGCCCUUAUUUUCACUUGCAAAGCCUAAUAAUGGCCUUUUCUGUCACCUGUCUGGUAGGUACCCAUUCACUAUACUCCUCUUUCUCCUCACAGACUCCUGGCCUCCUUAUUCUUCUACACACACACACACACACACACACACACACACACACACACACACGCGCGCGCGCGCGCGCGCGUGCGCGCGCGCGCUCGAGUGCGUGCACAUACACACAGACCUCCACCACUACCCAAACCUUACCCAACUCCAGGCUGCAGCCUGUAAGCUAGCAAACCCCACUCAGAGGCUCUCCUUUAGAAUCUAGAGUCUAGAUCCUCUCAUGACUCACUCCCGUUCUUAUCAGGCUCCCCUCAAGUUUUAACUCUGCUUUGAAACAUUUCUCUACUGUUCUUCCAUGUGUGGACACUGCAGUGGGAAUAUGAAGAUGAGACCAAAUGGCUUCCUCCCUCAAGAAACUGUUAGAUCAAAUUGGAGAAUGGCCUUCCUGGAAAGUUUCCUAGAAGAGGGGCCCAUGAACUGAACCUUCAAAAAAGAAAAAGAAAAAGAAAAAAUAGAGUUAAGAGAGAGAAAGGGAGGGGUGAUAAGAAGAGCCUUUUAGGGAGCUGGCAUGUAUGUGGGUAGAGUUCAGAGGCUGCCUGAUCGGUCUUAUCAGUCUCCAGAGCCUGCUCUUGUGCUCUGAUAUGAACCUUGGGAACAGCUUGGUGACAUGCAUGGGUGGAAAAACUGACCAGUCACAACGAUGAUACAGACAAGGAAGUCCAAAACAGAGACAUGAAAGCUGCAGAGCACUGUCAAUGACAAAAGGGGACUCUCAGACAGGUACUUCAAAGAGGGUAGAAAAGCCAGAGAUGAUUCAUCCUGUAAGAAAAGACCAGAACAGGAUUCCUCAGACAGCAAGGCUCAGGGAUGCAGAUCUGUUAAUACCAACCUUCACUGGUCUCCAGAGUAUCAUUUCUCUUGGGAUCCAUCCCCUUGCAAUUUCUCUCACUUGAAUCUCGGCUGGGUCUAUUACUUGCUUUGACCCACUGGUUCUCAACCACAGAAGAAUCCGCCACCCCACCCUGAGAACAUUUACAAUGUUUGGAAACAAUGGGGCAUGCUGUGUGGGAGUGCUGUUCUAGCAAUUUCCAUGAUACUAACAGAUAGAGUCUGGGAUGUUGCCACACAGUGCACAGCUCCUCACAGCAAAGACUCACCUGGCCCGCAAUGUCAAGUGUGCUGAGACCAAGAAGCAAACAGAGCACAGCCUAAUCUUUUAUCUUAGCACGAACUAAACAUUAAGAUGACCUAAGACCACCAAGUGUUGCCAAAAUGCUCUACGCCCUGGGCUCAAAACAAAAUCUGACAACAAUGAAACCAGAAAAGUUUCAAAGUUUUCUCUCUUGGAAGUAGAGUACCCAGACGUUAUGUAUUCCAGUUCAGAGAUUCAUGGAGACAUCACAGGAGAGGUCAUAUGAAAAGGACAGAAUUCUAAGGAAGGCUCCAUGGAGACCAAAUAAGACUCCAAGGAAGAGAAUGCCAUAACAAGAAAAGUAAGGCCCCAGAUGUUCGGUGUCAGAUAAGCUCCUCCAGGAAGCCUCCAUCUGAGCUGUCUUGGCUAAAGUAGCUGGCCUGUGAGCUAAGAAGUUUUCACGGAUACGUUAGCAUUACACUUAAGGAACAGAGGCACUGUUGUUACUUAGCCCUGUUCAAUUGAUUCACAAGCAAAUAAAUAAGAUGUUGAUUUAAAAAUCAAGUCUUAGAAUGAUUUGUCACACCUUAACUGGUAAAAUAAUAACUAAAAACAGCAUUGAUAGUGUUCUAAGUACUUCUUAACUACAAUGUGUAAGAUGGAACCUGCUAUGUCCAAUGCAUCUUAGCCAUGAGAAAAUCUAAGCAUAUUAGUACAGGGAAGUUAAGUUCCCACACAAUGUUAGCACAUCUUGGGAAUAGAGAUGGGCAUUAACUCCAAAGGCUGCAUGUGCACCAUCAAGCUCUAUAAACCAUAGUCACACAUCCAUUCACUUGACAUUUAUGGAGAAUCUACCAUGUGCCAGGUAUUAUUGUUCUGUAUCAAAGAGUACUAGGGAUCUGAACAAAAAAAUUCCUGGGUUCAUGGAACUUCUACUGAAGUCUGAGAAGCUACAGAGGUGUACCAUUGGGUGGAAAGACUCCGCCCUUCCGUGUGGUAUGGUGGACAUUGAUUAGUGUUCUGUCAGCCAUGUAGUUAAGCACACUCACUUACACCAGGAAAUUAUCCAUUUUGUUAUAUGGAGUCCUUGAAGAAUGUUACUAGAGGUGACCAACUCUGCUAGCCAUGCCAGCUCAAGUGACUUUAUUGUGGUAUUUGUCCCUUCAGAAUACUAGCAAAAAGAUUGAAAAUGGUUGGGGUUCCGAUCCAGCCGGGGCUCCCAGAUAAAACUAUUGAGAGAUUAGUGCUACACAGACCCUGAUUUCUAAUGUGCAGAGAGACAUUAUUCUACAAAUUCAUUGCUGAUUCUGUGAGCUAGCAGAUACCCUCCUAGUAAAUUCCUGUACUGAACUAGGAAGGGACAGGCUCUGAGGUUUGUGAUGAAAGGGCUCCAAAUCUGGAGUUCCGGAGAAGGUCUCUGGGCUGAAGGGGAGGAACUGCUGAGAACCAAAUAAACGACAAUGGUGUCCUAACCUGAUCAAUCGCUCGAAGCUUCAACUUCAGCAUCUAAAUCUCAACAACUGGUAUUUUCUCCAUCUUUUGAAAAAUCGUAAAGCCAAGCUCCUCCAUGCUUCCUUCCUGAAACUGUAUUACCUCAGGAAGAGCUCUGAGCAGAGCUAUUCUGAAGCCAACACCAAAAGCUAUUUUCAUAGCAGAGACUGAGGUAUGGCACAGGCUAACUAAAUGGAGCUAAAACCAAACUGUGGAGAGGUCAGGAUCAGGACUGCGCCUGGCAUCAGAACCAGACCAGCAGCAUGCAGACAAGAAAAACCAGAUUCCUAGGCCCCAUACGGACUCACCUAAUCCAAACCUCUAUGGCAGGAACCAGGGAUUUUCAUUUCCACACACUAACCAGUGAUUGUGAGACCCUAAAUCCGAUAGUCAGGGUUUUUGGUCUGGAACAUAGCCCCAUAGAAUGCUGUCUAGUUCAGUAUGUGAAUGCGUGGCCUCACUACAAGACAGAUUCUGAUUCAGAAGGCUUAAAGUGGAGCUAGAAAGUCUCCCUUUCUAACUCCUCAGAGGAUGACUGUAGAUGGGUCACAGGGUCUGGGUGAAGCUUAGCUGGAAGCUGGCAUCAGAAGGCAGGGAGGCAGCAAGAGAAGCCAAAAGCACAGCUUCUUGCACCUUGGCAAACAGACAGAAUGCGGCCUCAGAGCCUGCAGAGGCAACAGCUAGACUUCACUACAGCACUGUUGCCACCCUCCUGGAUUAACCUGUGUGUCUCAUAAGCAGUUACAAGACCUGAUCCAUUAAUUAUGUCCUGAAAUAGCUCCUCCGCUUCGCCCCAGUCUCUCCCAUUCCUCCUUCAGCAUCUUAAGAUGAAACAAAGACAAAGAGGUGAUCCUGAAGUUCAAUCUCAUGCAAUUAAGUGCUUUGUUCUUAAUUAGAGUGUAAAGUUCUCUUUUUGUAGGCCAUUGAAUCAGUGAUAAUCAGUUUUGUGUUUACUGUUCUCAUAAAAGCUACUUCAUAUUGUGAAAACAAAAGCGCCUAAAAAGCUGACAUAGAUUCCAAAUGAUGUAUUCGACAGAAUCAAAUUGUUCUGAAGCACUUGUGCAUAUUUGAUUGCCAGACCUGGUCCUUCCCUUUCCGCUCAUGGAAGCAUUCAAUAGUAAUUACUACUCAGGUAUUAUGCUGAGACCUGGCCCGUGUUACUGGCAGCAGAUGGUCCCAAAGGCCUCAUUCAGAAACUUGGAAAUUGAGCCUUUGCAUGGAGUUUAAUCAAAAACUUAGGAUCCACUCCAUUGUUGGAUUUGCUUAUUUAAUGGAAGACUAUGUGCAAAUCCCUUUUCUGAUUUCUCUGGAGGAAACCCAGAAAUGAAGGUAGAGUUCCAGAUGGUAAGAAAUAAACAACAGGUGGUCUGGGGUUUGCUCACAAUUCGAGUCACAUGAAAAAUGGAAGUGGGUUUGUUCUGUGAGUCAUUUGCAUUCCAGAUUUCAAUAUAUACCACUCAACAUAAAGUAGGUUUGAACUGUAUAUACAUGUUAUACUUUAUCUCAUGUGUGUGUUUGCGUGCACAUGUGUACACAUGUGCACCAUGUCAUACAUGUAGGGAUCAGAGGACAACCCGUGUGAAUCGGUUCUCUCCUUCCACUAUGCAGAUCUCAGGGAUUGAACUUGGGCCAUCAGGCUUCACAGUAGGCACCUUUACUGACUAAGCCAUCUUAUUGGCCCUAAAGUAGGUUUUGAAUAGCCACCCCAGUGGUUAUAUGUAAAGACAAAAAUAUAAUUAAAUGGAUAUUUUGGUAAGUAUAAGCAGUGCAUUUGGGGCACAAGACCAGGAGAGCUUCAGAGCCCUUUAUGUCUACAUACAGAAGUGUAUUAAGCCACAAGUUUUGAAAAC
rnacentral:lncRNA from 1 species